rnacentral:rRNA from 1 species
GAUGAACGCUGGCGGCGUGCCUAAUACAUGCAAGUCGAGCGAACAGACGAGGAGCUUGCUCCUUUGACGUUAGCGGCGGACGGGUGAGUAACACGUAGGUAACCUACCUAUAAGACUGGGAUAACUUCGGGAAACCGGAGCUAAUACCGGAUAAUAUUUCGACCCGCAUGGUUCGAUAGUGAAAGAUAGCUUUGCUAUCACUUAUAGAUGGACCUGCGCCGUAUUAGCUAGUUGGUAAGGUAACGGCUUACCAAGGCAGCGAUACGUAGCCGACCUGAGAGGGAGGUCGGCCAGACUGGAACAGAGAAAGGGUACAGACUCCGAGGGGGGGCAGCAGUAGGGAAUCUUCCGCAAGGGGCGAGAGCCGGACGGAGCAACGCCGCGGGAGUGAUGAAGGUCUUCGGAUCGUAGAACUCUGUUAGUAGGGGAGAACAAACGUGUUAGUAACUGUGCACGUCUUGACGGUACCUAAACAGAAAGCCACGGCUAACUACGUG